rnacentral:rRNA from 1 species
GAUGAACGCUGGCGGCGUGCUUAACACAUGCAAGUCGAACGGAGUGCUCAUGACGGAGGAUUCGUCCAACGGAUUGAGUUACUUAGUGGCGGACGGGUGAGUAACGCGUGAGGAACCUGCCUCGGAGUGGGGAAUAACAGCCCGAAAGGGUUGCUAAUACCGCAUGAUGCAGCUGGGUCGCAUGACCCUGGCUGCCAAAGAUUUAUCGGUAAGCGAUGGGGAUGCGUUCCAUUAGGCAGUUGGCGGGUAACGCCCACCAAACCUCGAUGGAUAGGGGUUCUGAGAGGAAGGUCCCCCACAUUGGAACUGAGACACGGUCCAA